rnacentral:rRNA from 1 species
UACGUAGGGGGCGAGCGUUGUCCGGAUUUAUUGGGCGUAAAGAGCGUGUAGGCGGCCAGGUAGGUCUGCUGUGAAAACUCGAGGCUCAACCUCGAGACGUCGGCGGAAACCAUCUGGCUAGAGUCCGGAAGAGGAGAGUGGAAUUCCUGGUGUAGCGGUGAAAUGCGCAGAUAUCAGGAAGAACACCUAUGGCGAAGGCAGCUCUCUGGGACGGUACUGACGCUGAGACGCGAAAGCGUGGGGAGCAAACAGG